UGCCCAGCAACUCCUAUCCUUACCUCCUCGUGGUACCGGCCGGAAACUAUGAGCAACCUUAGGGAAGAUCGGGUAGCUAACCCCAGUGGGAACUUUGGUCUUAGGCUGACAGGGAAGG
rfam:Aedes albopictus isolate Foshan contig86469, whole genome shotgun sequence.